rnacentral:rRNA from 1 species
UGGCGAACGGGUGAGUAACGCGUGAGGAACCUGCCUCAAAGAGGGGGACGAACAGUGGAAACGACUGCUAAUACCGCAUAAGCCCACGGGUCGGCAUCGACCUGAGGGAAAAGGAGCAAUCCGCUUUGAGAUGGCCUCGCGUCCGAUUAGCUAGUUGGUGAGGUAACGGCCCACCAAGGCGACGAUCGGUAGCCGGACUGAGAGGUUGAACGGCCACAUUGGGACUGAGACACGGCCCAG